CGCCUUGGCUCCCCGCCAGCCAGGCCCCUCCCGCCGCGAGCGGCCGCCCCGGGACGCGAGCACUGGACUGCGAGUCCUGGGGCCUCGGUCCCACUCGGCCCAGUGCCUUCUCUGGCAACACGGAAGCCGGCGGAGAAGCCCCCCACUAGGGCCGCGGGCGGGUUAGUGAGAUCGCGCUCGCACCGGGCCGAGCUCCCGGCCUCCUGCACGACUGUCCUCGGUCUUCCCCGAUUCAGCAGACAACACCGGGUCUUCGGAUACAUCUUUCUUGUCUUUCUGCCACCCUCUGCCCCGUUUCUUGGCUCCGAGGGGGGAGUAUGCCACUGGGACUGGCUAUUUGAGUCAUCCGAGGAGGAGAUGGAGCCUCGACAUUGUCCCUCUGCACCGGGCAGGACCAGGACCGGCUUCUGAUAUGGGUUCUCCCCACCCUGCCCUGGGAAGAGGGAGGCCUCUGGCCAUAGGUUGGCUUUGAGUGCCCAUGGUGCAGGAGUGAGCCUCCUGUCAACAGAGAGAGUUGACUCAAGAUUUAAGGAGUAAAAAGGAAUUGGGGCUUACAAAA